AUUGAACGCUGGCGGCAUGCCUAACACAUGCAAGUCGAGCGGAUGAAGGGAGCUUUCUCCUGGAUUCAGCGGCGGACGGGUGAGUAAUGCCUAGGAAUCUGCCUGGUAGUGGGGGAUAACGUCCGGAAACGGGCGCUAAUACCGCAUACGUCCUGAGGGAGAAAGUGGGGGAUCUUCGGACCUCACGCUAUCAGAUGAGCCUAGUUCGGAUUAGCUAGUUGGUAGGGUAAAGGCCUACCAAGGCGACGAUCCGUAACUGGUCUGAGAGGAUGAUCAGUCACACUGGAACUGAGACACGGUCCAGACUCCUACGGGAGGCAGCAGUGGGGAAUCUUGGGCAAUGGGCGAAAGCCUGAUCCAGCAAUGCCGCGUGUGUGAAGAAGGUCUUCGGAUUGUAAAGCACUUUAAGUUGGGAGGAAGGGCAGUAAGUUAAUCCAUUGCUGUCUUGACGUUACCAAAAGAAUAAGCCCCGGCUAACUUCGUG
rnacentral:rRNA from 1 species